UUUUUAGAUACGCACAAAAUGGAGCCACCGGCAAAAAUUCAAAAGCUGGCGUUUGAUAUUGAAGAUGACAUAAGCAGCAGCAAAAAUGAAAUUGAACGGUUGGUUCAAAAGGUCGAUGACCUUGACAAGAAGGUGCAGGCCCAAAGUGAAAUUUUGGAGUCCUGCACGCAGCAGGUCUCAAGGUUGAUUGCAUUGCUGGAGGUCUUCCUUAAAGGAAAGGACAAAAGCAAUGCAGUCAACUUUGAGUUCCCUAUAAAGGACUCUGGAGUUUAGUUUAGCCCCAGAAAAUAAAGACAUAUAUAUCACCGCAGUUACAAAACUUCUAAAGAGGGCAAAAAUUACGAAGUCCAUCAAAAUUGUGCUGGCCGAGGAUCUGCUCCUACUAUACAACAUUGAAGGGGUCAGUGGGAAGAGGAAGAAAGUAUUUCCAGGUUGGAGGACCAGAGCCAGCCAGCAGAGAAGGUCCUGGCUCACGCG